rnacentral:rRNA from 1 species
AUACGGAGGAUGCGAGCGUUAUCCGGGAUUCAUUGGGUUUAAAGGGUGCGUAGGUUGCCGAUUAAGUCAGCGGUGAAAGUCAGUGGCUCAACCAUUGAAUUGCCGUUGAAACUGGUUGGCUUGAGUACGUACGGGGCAGGCGGAAUGCGUGGUGUAGCGGUGAAAUGCAUAGAUAUCACGCAGAACCCCGAUCGCGGAGGCAGCCUGCCAGGCCGUGACUGACACUGAUGCACGAAAGCGUGGGUAUC